rnacentral:rRNA from 1 species
UGGAUUAAUACUCUAGGAUAGUGGACGUUACUCGCAGAAUAAGCACCGGCUAACUCUGUGCCAGCAGCCGCGGUAAUACAGAGGGUGCGAGCGUUAAUCGGAUUUACUGGGCGUAAAGCGUGCGUAGGCGGCUGAUUAAGUCGGAUGUGAAAUCCCUGAGCUUAACUUAGGAAUUGCAUUCGAUACUGGUCAGCUAGAGUAUGGGAGAGGAUGGUAGAAUUCCAGGUGUAGCGGUGAAAUGCGUAGAGAUCUGGAGGAAUACCGAUGGCGAAGGCAGCCAUCUGGCCUAAUACUGACGCUGAGGUACGAAAGCAUGGGGAGCAAACAGGAUUAGAUACCCUGGUAGUCCAUGCCGUAAACGAUGUCUACUAGCCGUUGGGGCCUUUGAGGCUUUAGUGGCGCAGCUAACGCGAUAAGUAGACCGCCUGGGGAGUACGGUCGCAAGACUAAAACUCAAAUGAAUUGACGGGGGCCCGCACAAGCGGUGGAGCAUGUGGUUUAAUUCGAUGCAACGCGAAGAACCUUACCUGGCCUUGACAUAGUAGAAACUUUCCAGAGAUGGAUUGGUGCCUUCGGGAAUCUACAUACAGGUGCUGCAUGGCUGUCGUCAGCUCGUGUCGUGAGAUGUUGGGUUAAGUCCCGCAACGAGCGCAACCCUUUUCCUUACUUGCCAGCAUUUCGGAUGGGAACUUUAAGGAUACUGCCAGUGACAAACUGGAGGAAGGCGGGGACGACGUCAAGUCAUCAUGGCCCUUACGGCCAGGGCUACACACGUGCUACAAUGGUCGGUACAAAGGGUUGCUACCUAGCGAUAGGAUGCUAAUCUCAAAAAGCCGAUCGUAGUCCGGAUUGGAGUCUGCAACUCGACUCCAUGAAGUCGGAAUCGCUAGUAAUCGCGGAUCAGAAUGCCGCGGUGAAUACGUUCCCGGGCCUUGUACACACCGCCCGUCACACCAUGGGAGUUUGUUGCACCAGAAGUAGGUAGUCUAACCUUAGGGAGGACGCUUACCACGGUGUGGCCGAUGACUGGGGUGAAGUCGUAACAAGGUAGCCGUAGGGGAACCUGCGGCUGGAUCACCU